UACGUAGGGGGGCUAGCGUUGUCCGGAAUCAUUGGGGCGUAAAGAGCGUGUAGGCGGCUCAGUAAGUCCGCUGUGAAAGUCCAGGGCUCAACCCCUGGAAUGCCAGUGGAAACUGUUGAGCUAGAGUCCGGAAGAGGCGAGUGGAAUUCCUGGUGUAGCGGUGAAAUGCGCAGAUAUCAGGAGGAACACCAAUGGCGAAGGCAGCUCGCUGGGACGGUACUGACGCUGAGACGCGAAAGCGUGGGGAGCAAACAGG
rnacentral:rRNA from 1 species